rnacentral:rRNA from 1 species
CCUACGGGUGGCAGCAGUGGGGAAUAUUGGACAAUGGGGGGAACCCUGAUCCAGCGACGCCGCGUGAGUGAAGAAGUAUUUCGGAAUGUAAAGCUCUAUCAGCAGGGAAGAAAGAAAUGACGGUACCUGACUAAGAAGUCCAGGCUAACUACGUGCCAGCAGCCGCGGUAAUACGUAGGGGGCAAGCGUUAUACGGGUUUACUGGGUGUAAAGGUCGCGUAUACGGCGAGUCAAGUCUGAGGUGAAAGGCGCGGGACCAACCCCUGAACUGCUUUGGAAACUGGAUGGCUGGAGUGCUGGAGAGGUAAGUGGAAUUCCAAGUGUAGCGGUGAAAUGCGUAGAUAUUAGGAGGAACACCAGUGGCGAAGGCGGCUUACUGGACUGUAACUGACGUUGAGGCUCGAAAGCGUGGGGAGCAAACAGGAUUAGAUACCCUUGUAGUC